GUCCCCGUAGUUCAACGGAUAGAACAACAGCCUUCUAAGCUGUGGACGAAGGUUCGAUUCCUUCCGGGGACA
rfam:Candidatus Falkowbacteria bacterium RIFOXYC2_FTLL_48_21 rifoxyc2_full_scaffold_5704, whole genome shotgun sequence.